rnacentral:rRNA from 1 species
UACGGGGGGAGCAAGCGUUGUUCGGAUUUACUGGGCGUAAAGGGCGCGUAGGCGGUCGUGACAAGUCACUUGUGAAAUCUCCGGGCUUAACUCGGAACGGUCAAGUGAUACUGUCGGACUAGAGUACAGAAGGGGCAACUGGAAUUCUCGGUGUAGCGGUGAAAUGCGUAGAUAUCGAGAGGAACACCUGCGGCGAAGGCGGGUUGCUGGGCUGAUACUGACGCUGAGGCGCGAAAGCCAGGGGAGGCGAACGGG